rnacentral:rRNA from 1 species
CCUACGGGAGGCAGCAGUAGGGAAUAUUGCUCAAUGGGGGAGACCCUGAAGCAGCAACGCCGCGUGGGGGAUGAAGGUUUUCUGAUUGUAAACUCCUUUAGUUAGAGAAGAUAAUGACGGUAUCUAACGAAUAAGCACCGGCUAACUCCGUGCCAGCAGCCGCGGUACUACGGAGGGUGCAAGCGUUACUCGGAAUCACUGGGCGUAAAGAGCGCGUAGGCGGGAUAGCAAGUCAGAUGUGAAAACCUAUGGCUUAACCAUCGAACUGCAUUUGAAACUGUUAUUCUAGAGUAUGGGAGAGGUAGGUGGAAGUCUUGGUGUAGGGGUAAAAUCCGUAGAGAUCACGAGGAAUACUCAUUGCGAAGGCGACCUGCUAGAACAUAACUGACGCUGAUGCGCGAAAGCGUGGGGAGCAAACAGGAUUAGAUACCCUGGUAGUC